AACCGCACUUGUAGUGUUGUCAUUGACUACGGGAAGCUUUGCCAGCUACAUCGGCGCUGGCUACGGCCUCGGCUACGGCGUUAGCCACUUCGGCGUGUCUAGAGGCAUUGGGUACUCCACUGUGACGGGAUUCGCCCACAGUAUUGGCUACGCCCCGACGCAGGGCUACUCACUCAUUCCUGCCGGCACAGCACAUGCUCCUGCCGUACCACUGCUCACGGCGCACGCAGUUCCAGCUGUGGCUCCGGUAGUCGUUCCAGCAGGUGUGGCCACGGUCACGACAACUUAUCAUGCACCAGCUACAAUUACUACACUCACUACAGUACCAGCCACGGUGACCAAGGUGACAACCACGUAUCACACUCCUGUAGUGAGUACAGAUGUACACCUGGCUCCUGUCUAUGGACACAAGAUCGGCAGCCUCGGGUACGGAACUGGAAACUAUGGCUUCGGAUACGGUCUAGGGUCGUACGGCCUCAACUACGGCUACGGUCUUGGUACACCUGUGCAGUAUCUGAUUCUCCUGCGUCGGCGGAAGUAAACAACGAACAACGGACUCCUUGAAAUGUGACAUGGGCUUCCGUUUGCCAUUAGGAACACUUUGCUCAUGCUACUACUACGAGAAAACGCGACUAUUCUAAGUACAUUUAGGUGUUAUCUAGUCUUUUUAAUAACCUUGCCGCUGUGUUUCUACGUAUUUCUGCUGGUAAUCUUACGGUUAAUGGCUACGUCGCGAGAAGUUUGGAAUAAAUCACACUGGCAGCACU